rnacentral:rRNA from 1 species
CACGAGUUGUUGCUGGUCCUCGAAGGGGGACAUGUGCACGCUCUGUUUGCACAUCCACUCACACCUGUGCACCCUCCAUAGUUCUGCAGCCUGGGGGGGCUCUGUCCCCCCGCCGUGGUUCUAUGUAUUUACACACACACACUGUAGUAAAGUUUCAUGGAAUGCAUACCGCGUUUAACGCAAUACAAUACAACUUUCAGCAACGGAUCUCUUGGCUCUCGCAUCGAUGAAGAACGCAGCGAAAUGCGAUAAGUAAUGUGAAUUGCAGAAUUCAGUGAAUCAUCGAAUCUUUGAACGCACCUUGCGCCCUUUGGCUAUUCCGAAGGGUAUGCCUGUUUGAGUAUCAUGAAAACCUCAACUCUCAUGGCUUGCCAUGAUGAGCUUGGACUUUGGGGGUCUUGCUGGCCUGUGGUCAGCUCCUCUCAAAUGAAUUAGCUUACCAGUGUUUGGUGGCAUCACAGGUGUGAUAACUAUCUACGCUUGUGGUUUUCCACCACGUAACCUUCGGCGAUGAAGGUUCGCUGGGGCUCAUAAACGUCUCUCCCCAGUGAGGACACAGCUCUUGGAAUGUUUGAUCUCAAAUCAGGUAGGACU